rnacentral:misc_RNA from 1 species
GAUGAAGAACGUAGCGAAAUGCGAUAGGUAAUGUGAAUUGCAGAAUUCAGUGAAUCAUCGAAUCUUUGAACGCACAUUGCGCCCUUUGGUAUUCCUUAGGGCAUGCCUGUUCGAGCGUCAUUGCUGCCCUCAAGCACGGCUUGUGUGUUGGGCCUCCGUCCUCCUCCCGGGGGACGGGCCCGAAAGGCAGCGGCGGCACCGCGUCCGGUCCUCGAGCGUAUGGGGCUUCGUCACCCGCUCUUGUAGGCCCGGUCGGCGCUUGCCGACACAUCAAUCUUUUUUCCAGGUUGACCUCGGAUCAGGUAGGGAUACCCGCUGAACUUAAGCAUAUCAAUAAGCGGAGGA